UGAGAAAUCUCUGGAGGCCUUAC
rnacentral:siRNA from 1 species